GAUGAACGCUAGCUACAGGCUUAACACAUGCAAGUCGAGGGGAAACGACAUCGAAAGCUUGCUUUUGAUGGGCGUCGACCGGCGCACGGGUGAGUAACGCGUAUCCAACCUGCCCAUCACUUGGGAAUAACCUUGCGAAAGUAAGACUAAUACCCAAUGACAUCCCACGAAGACAUCUGAAUGGGAUUAAAGAUUUAUCGGUGAUGGAUGGGGAUGCGUCUGAUUAGCUUGUUGGCGGGGUAACGGCCCACCAAGGCAACGAUCAGUAGGGGUUCUGAGAGGAAGGUCCCCCACAUUGGAACUGAGGCACGGUCCAAACUCCUACGGGAGGCAGCAGUGAGGAAUAUUGGUCAAUGGGCGAGAGCCUGAACCAGCCAAGUAGCGUGCAGGAUGACGGCCCUAUGGGUUGUAAACUGCUUUUAUAAGGGAAUAAAGUGGGUCUCGUGAGACUUUUUGCAUGUACCUGAUGAAUAAGGACCGGCUAAUUCCGUG
rnacentral:rRNA from 1 species